rnacentral:rRNA from 1 species
AAUCAACGCUGGCGGCGCGCUUAACACAUGCAAGUCGCACGAGAAAGGGGAGCAAUCCCUGAGUAAAGUGGCGUACGGGUGAGUAACACGUGGGUCAUCUACACUUUAGUGGGGAAUAACUCUGGGAAACCGGAGCUAAUACCGCAUAAGCCUGAGAAGGGAAAGCCGAAAGGCGCUGAAGAAGGAGCCCGCGGCUGAUUAGCUAGUUGGUGGGGUAACGGCUCACCAAGGCGAUGAUCGGUAGCCGGCCUGAGAGGGCACACGGCCACACUGGCAC